rnacentral:rRNA from 1 species
CCUACGGGUGGCUGCAGUGAGGAAUAUUGGUCAAUGGUCGGGAGACUGAACCAGCCAAGCCGCGUGAGGGAGGAAGGUACAGAGUAUCGUAAACCUCUUUUGUCAGGGAACAAAGACUGGGACGCGUCCCCGGAUGAGUGUACCUGAAGAAAAAGCAUCGGCUAACUCCGUACCAGCAGCCGCGGUAAUACGGAGGAUGCGAGCGUUAUCCGGAUUUAUUGGGUUUAAGGGGUGCGCAGGCGGUUGGUUAAGUCAGCGGUAAAACCCCGGGGCUCAACCCCGGCCCGCCGUUGAAACUGGCAGUCUCGAGUUGGAGAGAAGUAUGCGGAAUGCGCGGUGUAGCGGUGAAAUGCAUAGAUAUCGCGAAGAACUCCGAUGGCGAAGGCAGCAUGCCGGCUCCACACUGACGCUGAGGCACGAAAGCGUGGGUAUCGAACAGGAUUAGAUACCCGAGUAGUC